rnacentral:rRNA from 1 species
UACGUAGGAUCCGAGCGUUGUCCGGAUUUACUGGGCGUAAAGGGUGCGCAGGCGGAAUGGUAAGUCAGAGGUGAAAUCUCGCCGCUCAACGGCGAAACUGCCUUUGAUACUAUCAUUCUUGAAUCCGGUAGAGAUCUGUGGAAUUCCGAGUGUAGCAGUGAAAUGUGUAGAUAUUCGGAAGAACACCAGUGGCGAAGGCAGCAGAUUGGGCCGGUAUUGACGCUCAGGCACGAAAGCAUGGGGAUCAAACAGG